ACGGAGGAGGCUAGCGUUGUUCGGAAUUACUGGGCGUAAAGCGCGCGCAGGCGGCUUUGCAAGUCAGGGGUGAAAGCCCGAGGCUCAACCUCGGAACUGCCUUUGAGACUGCAAGGCUCGAGACCGGGAGAGGAGAGUGGAAUUCCCAGUGUAGAGGUGAAAUUCGUAGAUAUUGGGAAGAACACCAGUGGCGAAGGCGGCUCUCUGGCCCGGACCUGACGCUGAGGCGCGAAAGCUAGGGGAGCAAACAGGA
rnacentral:rRNA from 1 species